UACGGAGGGUGCAAGCGUUAUCCGGAUUCACUGGGUUUAAAGGGUGCGUAGGUGGGUUUGUAAGUCAGUGGUGAAAUCUCCAAGCUUAACUUGGAAACUGCCGUUGAUACUAUAAAUCUUGAAUGUUGUGGAGGUGAGCGGAAUAUGUCAUGUAGCGGUGAAAUGCUUAGAUAUGACAUAGAACACCAAUUGCGAAGGCAGCUCACUACACAAAGAUUGACACUGAGGCACGAAAGCGUGGGGAUCAAAACAGG
rnacentral:rRNA from 1 species